rnacentral:rRNA from 1 species
CCAGAGUAACAAUUGGAGGGCAAGUCUGGUGCCAGCAGCCGCGGUAAUUCCAGCUCCAAUAGCGUAUAUUAAACUUGUUGCAGUUAAAAAGCUCGUAGUUGAAUUUUUGCGUGGUGUUAAUAUUGACUGAUGUCGAGAUUGCACUUCGCUUUUGGGAUUUUUCCCUUUUUACUUUGAGAAAAUUAGAGUGUUUCAAGCAGACUUUUGUCUUGAAUACUUCAGCAUGGAAUAAUAGAGUAGGACUUUGGUUCUAUUUUGUUGGUUUGUGAACCUUAGUAAUGGUUAAUAGGAACGGUUGGGGGCAUUCGUAUUUAACUGUCAGAGGUGAAAUUCUUAGAUUUGUUAAAGACGAACUACUGCGAAAGCAUUUGCCAAGGACGUUUUCAUUAAUCAAGAACGAAAGUUAGGGGAUCGAAGACGAUCAGAUACCGUCGUAGUCCUAACCAUAAACUAUGCCGACUAGGGAUUGGAGGUCGUCAUUUUUCCGACUCCUUCAGCACCUUGAGAGAAAUCAAGG